ensembl:lncRNA
GAACCUUUGACUUAUUCCUUAUCUGCUGGCGUGGCAGUGACCUUUAGAGAAGUUUUAAAGUCUGUGUAUAUGUGAUCAGUAGUCUUUGAUAUUUUUACAGGAGAUUUUAAGGUGGUUCAAAGAGACAGAAGGCAGCAAUACAAAGUAACCAAGGCUACAGCUAUUCCUCAGGCAAUGCAAAAAGAAGAAGAAAGAAAGAAGGAAAAAAAAAAAAGAAAAAAGAAAAAAGAAAAUAGUGGGGAAAAAAUGGAAUGAAAAAGAGAAAAAAAAGACAUAUUCAUGCUGGCAUAAGUUCACCAUCAUCUGUGGAGAAUUAUGUUUGUGUUUUUAUGGGAUUAUUUUUUUAAAAGGAACAGUAGAGUGUGGUGCAGCAGACUGUGGGUUAUCUGAAUGGCAGCCAGGAUAAACCCAGUGGAAAGAAUAACUAAGUAUUCUCUCUUAUGUGCCUGCCUUUCUCCCACAGUUGGACUUUGUUCAACUUAGGACAAAAAUUUGACUGUCAGUAUGCUUUGUGUGGUCCUUUUUAUUCAAAUUCUCCAUCUAGCAAAGACUGACACUUAACAUACCCACAUGUCCUCAUUUACAAUUCUUCCUCCGUCUCGUGAGUAUACAUGGAUACGCUGGAGAUUAAUUUUCUCAGAAAGCCUGAAGUUUGUGUCUGAAGCCCUUUACAAUACUUCAAGAGGUGCAGUAUUAUAUGGUGUUUGUAGGUACAAACUAUCUGUUUCAUCAUCACUAUCAAUUUCAUCAUACUUAUUUUCAGGCACAAAACCGCAAUCAGAUUUCAUAUUUUUUGGUUUGUUUCCUCUGUAUAUUCUACCUGCAAACUGCAGAACAUAGAUAACACUCUUUGAAUAAAGUAAAAAGACCAAGUACCAUAUCAGUGUAGGUCUAUAUCAAUAGCUUAAGCAACAAAAAAGCACAUGUAUUUCUCAUAGUAUAUUCACUCUCUUUAAAACCAAAUGUGUCUCAUUCAAAUGUAAUAGCUUACUUGUAGCAUCUAUUUUGUCUGAUGGCUAAGAAAAUUAUGUGUAACUCUAAAAUGAAAUGCUGGGGCUGAUAGCUUCCUGACAAUUAUUCUGGCAGGGAGAGAUGCAGGUGAUUAGCAUUGACAAUAGUUUUAAACAAACUGUGUUAUAGUUUCCCUUUUAAAAUUGGAGUAAUAGGUAAGCAGCUAGAAGCUUAGAUCUCUACCCCCAACACUGCAUAGCAAUUACAUGACUUCUUUUUUUCCUAUGGAAAACCUGAUGAAACAUGAUGCAGUAAUUGCUGAUACAGGGCACCUGGAGCAGGGCCUUUGGGAAUGUUUGUGUAACUCUCAAGGCAACUAAGUACUCCUACAAAGGUCCUCACCUCUGGGCCUGCUUAGGGAUCAACAGCCAGAUCAUAUCUUUCCCUUUCUAAAUAUAUCUCUAUACUAACAAACUAGUUUGUUAACAUCAUUCCCCUGACAGCCCUUCUAGAGCAACAAGAAGAAAAUAUGUGAAACUUUACUGAAUGCCUCAUAAGAGAGCAGGCACUGCUGCUUGGAGACUGUCACCUGUACAACACCAUAAGGACAGACCUGGCUGUUCUAGUAAGAUCUGCAAGGCCAGCUUAGCUCUUGACUGAAUGUAACAUUGGUUUACAUUUCUCAAAUCAGGAUAGAAAACAGAGUUAAAACAGAUUGAAGUGUAGACUGAAGCACGGGACUACUCACAACGGCUGCCAUGUUAAAAAAAACAAUGACAGCAACAAAGCAACUUUAUUCUGUCUAGAGCGUGAGGUAAAAUGCAUGUCUUUUGAGCAUGGAAGCUGAUUCUUUUUAGUAACUGACAUGCAAGGAAGUCUCACAAAUUACUCACUUCCAGAGGUAGAAUAAACCUGGACACCAGUGGGAAAAUACUGGCCUACAGAAUGUCUUCAUUGUUUCUUUCAGUUUAAUUGUGGUCCAUUUCCUGCAAAUAAACACACAAAUCUGCUUUCUAUGGUAUUUAAAACUUCCGGUAGAAAUCUACCUGGAAUUGGGAAAUCCCUGUGUAUUGGACAAAGAGGUAAGAAAUUGUAUCUGACCAGUUUUAGGAGAAGCUGUGAAAGGUAUUAAUCACAAGCCAAAGGGAUAACUUACCCUGUCUUGACGGUGAGAGCUCACUGAGAAAAAAAUUGUUGAAGGAUACAAUCUCUGAGUAGAGAUAUUUGUCUCCUACCUACUGGCCCUUAAUGAGGUUAGAAAGGGAUGGACCCUGGGAUCUCCUGCUUUCACCUGUGCUCCCAGGGCUGGUUAGAAGACUUCUGGCCCAGAAAAGAUGUUAAAUGAAUGGGGGUUUGUUUUGUUUUACUUGCUUCUUACUGCACUCAGAAGAAUGAGUAUAAAUGAAGAUGAGAUGUGAGAAGUAAAAACACUGUUUACCCUAUAAAUUUUGUUGGGGCACUGGGAGCUCUGUUAAUUUCAGAUGUGAACUUCACCAUAAUGCUAAUGAGCUGACUUAGAACAUUCUAAAUAUUCCAUUUCAACAAGUAACUACAGAGUAAGUUAACUUCAGUUUUCAUGGCUGACUGCUUUUGAGUAUGAAUGUUAAGUUUAACUUGGUAAAACUCUAUUUUUAUAAUCUCUUUUAGUCAGGAACAAAUAUCUUCUAAGGGUGCAUAUGCAAGAACAGUAAAUUCAUAAUAAGCAGUGCUCUAUUCUCAUAUUACUUCAGUUUCUGGAAGCAGCUCGUUUCAGGCUUUGAUAUCUUCCCUUCUGCGGUGGAGUAAGUCUAUUUCUAAUAAGUUCUUUGUACUUGAUGAUUUUAUCUUGGAUAAUCGUAAAUGUGCCACGUGCUUCACAGAGAUGUCUGAUGUUUUCUGCAACCUUUGUAUAUGAUGCUUCUCUUUCUUAGCCAAUUUCAGGCAUUGUUACAUCCCAAAGCUGAAUGUGGCAAUGGUGUGACUUUUUCUUGCUACUGCCAAUUAAUCUGCCAUCUGUUUUUUGCCUUUAGGUAUUGUGUUUCCCAAUUAAGUUACUAUAUGUAUCUUGACACAUAAGGUUGUUUACAGAUUGCUGGUCAUUACCUGCAGAAACUCAAUGCCUUCUCUCUUUUUAGGUCUCAUUCAAAACUAAUUUAUUUUUCUCUAAUUAUAAAGAUUGCAGAUAAUUUUUUUCAGCUUCUGUUUCAUAAACAUAUAUCUGUGCCAUAAUUUAGAUGUCUUUUUUUCUUUUUUCCUUUUUUUUUUUUUAAGUGCCAUUUAAUGCAUUGCUCGCAAUAAAGGGAAAAAAAAGAAUCCUAAAAUUCCCUUUAUAAAUCUUGCACACAGCAACAGUUCUCCAGCUUUUUAAUCAAAUGUUUUGAGAUGUCUAUAGCACAGGCUACUGUACAGAAGUACAACAAGAUGCCAACUUAUUAUAAUAAGUCAAUAUUCAUGCACUUGGCACAGUGCAUGCAAAGUAAGGAAGGAUACAGUGUAACAAUUAAAAAGGUAUAAAAUUUGAAAAAAAGAAACCAAACCUAAUGAAUUUGUCUGUUUACACGAUUGCUAGAAUCAAUCUAUUGUAUGAGAGAUGUACUGCUACACAAGAAAAACACAACUUUAAUCUUUUAAUUAAGGGAAGUCAACAGCAAACUUUUCAAGAGGUAGUUAAUUGAAGUUUAUAAGUUACUGAUGAUGGGUGGCAAGAGGUGAGUUAAGUAGAAAAAAAAAAAAAAAGGAACUUCAGAUCUGAUGCCUCUGCAUGGAAAAGAGGGAAAGACAACAAAG